ACGGAAGGCAGCAGUGGGGAAUAUUGGUCAAUGGGCGAAAGCCUGAUCCAGCGACGCCGCGUGAGUGAAGAAGUAUUUCGGUAUGUAAAGCUCUAUCAGCAGGGAAGAUAAUGACGGUACCUGACUAAGAAGCACCGGCUAAAUACGUGCCAGCAGCCGCGGUAAUACGUAUGGUGCAAGCGUUAUCCGGAUUUACUGGGUGUAAAGGGAGCGUAGGCGGUAUGCUAAGUCUGAUGUGAAAGCCCGAGGCUCAACCUCGGUACUGCAUUGGAAACUGGUAAACUAGAGUGUCGGAGGGGUAAGUGGAAUUCCUAGUGUAGCGGUGAAAUGCGUAGAUAUUAGGAGGAACACCAGUGGCGAAGGCGGCUUACUGGACGAUAACUGACGCUGAGGCUCGAAAGCGCGGGGAGCAAACAGGAUUAGAUACCCUGGUA
rnacentral:rRNA from 1 species